GCCCCUCUCCGCCGGCGCUCCCGGGAGCGCAGGGCCAGCUUGAGCGCCGAGGACGCGUGGCACUUCCAACGAGCAGGAGGCUGUGGGCUCACUCUGUCUCUAACGGGAGACAGUGCGUGGAGCCCUUUUUGUUUCUCCCCCAACCCCUGGGCCUCCCGGGGUGGGUCCGGAGACCGAGCGCUGCGGGGGAUGACCACGCUGACCGCGGCUCCUCAUGGGGAGAGGCCGCCUUGUCUUGACCUAAUCCCCGAGCCACAGUUCAGCCAUCAGGAGAGAAGUACUUCACCAUCGUUUGCAUCCCUCAGUGCGAAGACGACUGUGAGCUGAUGUUUCUGUGUAUGCCAUAAAAAGCCACGGAAUGUUUGCCUCUGAUGGCUACGGUGAAGCUACACAGCGUCCUGGAAUAAACACACAGGAAGGCUGCGGAGCACGUAACCAAAAUGGACUGAUACACUCCACACCCGGCUCACAUCUGUUAAAAAUAUUUAGGCAUAUUUAUCUCCAAUAGCUUUGAAAGCAAAGGAAGUCACAGCAGUUGUAUCCAGUGUGGACAGGGCAGUUAGCUAUGUGCUGGUUUAUUUACUUAGAGCAUUUUAUUUUUACGGGGAAAGUUAUCUUCAAGUAGGCAAACAGAGGAUUGGAAAAAGCGUUUUCAAAAAACCAUAAAUAUAAUUUUUGGCUACAUGUUUCCUACACCCCCACCCAAUGUAAUAGAAAAGCAACAUCUUUAUAAUUGGCACUUGACAUGCUGUUUGCGUUGGGCUGUGGCACACCAAGCACAGAUUUCCUGUUGAUGGAAACAUUUAUCAUCCUGAUUGCCCCAGAGUGGCAGGUGGUGUUAUCAAUUACCUCUUCUUACCAAUAAUAAUAUUAGUAUGGUAAUAUCUUUGCUCAAGUGAGAACCAAUUAGCAGUCACUUGUCACAGCAUUAGAGGCACCAAAUCAUGCUGAAUUUAACUCUAAGAACCUAAAACAAAAGUUGGGGGUAGGGGAGGAAACGGAGAGAGGUGGCCAGAGAAUAGAAGAAAGGAACUUUGGGUGGGGGGAGGAAUGAAAGAAGACAGAAAAUGAAAUGAAAGCCCUAAUAUUUGAAGGUGUUUUUUUUUUUUUGCAUUAAGUGGUUGGGGAAAAUAAACACUUGUAAACAAAGCAUCAAAUGCACCUUAGGUAAAACUAGCUUCUGUGAAUCUGGGGCCAGGUAGCUUCAAUAAACUGUGACUGUGAUGGUAAAUUAGAACCAACUACUCCACUUCCAAUCAAUCUUGCAGAUAGGCUUUGUUUUAUCUGAAUGAUACCGAUUGAACCAAACACCUAAUUAUAUGUUUCACUAAUGUAAAAUAUACAGCAUUAAUUUGUAAAUAAUAUUAGACAAAAUAAUAAUGUGUCACCUCAAGAUGAAAACAACAUUGCAAGAGGAAAGACAAUUAACAAAUUAGAUUUAAUUACAGGGAAGAAAAGCAAC
rnacentral:lncRNA from 1 species